GACGAACGCUGGCGGCGCGCUUAACACAUGCAAGUCGAGCGAUGAAACUUUAACAGCACCCUUCGGGGCGAAGAUAAAGUGGAUAGCGGCGGACGGGUGAGUAACACGUGAGUAACCUGCCUUAGACAUUGGGAUAGUCUCGGGAAACCGGGAUUAAUACCAAAUAAAAUCAUAAUGACACAUGUCAUAACGAUCAAAACUCCGGUGGUCUAAGAUGGACUCGCGUCCCAUUAGCUAGUUGGUAGAGUAAAAGCCUACCAAGGCGACGAUGGGUAGCCGGCCUGAGAGGGUGAACGGCCACAUUGGAACUGAGAAACGGUCCAAACUCCUACGGGAGGCAGCAGUGGGGAAUAUUGCACAAUGGAGGGAACUCUGAUGCAGCGACGCCGCGUGAACGAAGAAGGCUUUCGAGUCGUAAAGUUCUUUUAUAUGGGAAGAUAAUGACGGUACCAUAAGAAAAAGCCCCGGCUAACUACGU
rnacentral:rRNA from 1 species